AACAAAAAAACAAAAAGAAAACACUCGUGAAAACUCUCAGCCUCACCUCACAAACACUCUGACCAACGAAAAUAAGAUGACAAAGAGAGAAUGCUGGAGGGAGAGAGAUGGCGAUAGAGAGACAGGAAGAAGGAAAGAGAGAAGAAGAUCAUUGAGUACAUUAUUGGAACUUGUUAUUGCUGAUGACGGGAAAUGAGUAAAGGUGUAUAUUUUGGCUAAGCUAUUGUUUGUGGUGAAGCAAUGUUCACAAGUCUCAGGUUUAAAUAAUGCAGGAUCUACCGGGAAUGACUGAUGUUGUAGGAAAACAACCUAUCUUUCUUUUAAAUCCUAAGCUCAAGACAGUCCUGCUGAAGGUGCUAAAAGAGGCCGUUUACCACCACCUCAAUCGAAGAACGAAACUGCAUUUCCACCUCCACCUCCGAGUUCAUUGUAGGCAUGUCUUUGCUCAGGAUGAAUAUUAUGUGCAAUGCGAAGACAAUUAAAUAGAUUAACAAACUUUUCAGGAAAGCUUCUCCUGUUCCUGAGUCACUUGAGCUUUGCAUUUGCCAGCUCACCAGGAACGUGAACGAAAAUCAUUUAAGAGAAAUAUUUGGUCCUUUCUUGGUUAACUCAAUAUCCAGGGACAAGUCACCAUGAAAAACAAGCCACCAGAUCAUUUCUCAAGUUCCUUAAACUAUACUCACCUCACAUAUCUGUACCUAGAUAUUACUACUUAUACUAAAUACUCUUUUUUUUUGUUGGAGUUAAAUGACUUUUUUCUGUUUGUGUUUCCAAGCUUCAGCGAUAUGGAACAUGAUAUAUCAGGAGCAUAUGUAUAUGUUUGUGGUGAGAGUUGGUUCUGUAUGCAUGCUAGUCCCUCCCCCACCAAAAUUGUUGUUGCGGAACAUGCUCUGCUCAAGGCUUUCAACAAUCUAAUGGAGGGUGCUUUACUGAUUUCCACAAAAGCCCCAACAAUUGGUCUAUGACAAGUCUUUUGUAAUGGAGUUUUUGUUGAUAAAAAAAUUGGUGUAAUAAUAUAUUGACCUAUUUUAUUUAACAUUUUAGAUUUAGGAUUGUUUUUAUUAGUGUAGUUACAAUGGUACUACUCUUGGGUGUGGUUGUGUAGGCAUGGUGAGAUUUGUGGUGGGUAACAUCUUAGUUUUUUUUUUUUUGGGAUCUUGUAAUGAAAUUUUAAUGGUGAAAUAAUAUAUUUUUGUAAUGGUCA